UUACACAUGCAAGUCAAACGGCAGCACGGGAGCAAUCCUGGUGGCGAGUGGCGAACGGGUGAGUAAUACAUCGGAACGUGCCCUGUAGUGGGGGAUAACUAGUCGAAAGACUAGCUAAUACCGCAUACGACCUGAGGGUGAAAGUGGGGGACCGCAAGGCCUCAUGCUAUAGGAGCGGCCGAUGUCUGAUUAGCUAGUUGGUGGGGUAAAGGCCUACCAAGGCGACGAUCAGUAGCUGGUCUGAGAGGACGAUCAGCCACACUGGGACUGAGACACGGCCCAGACUCCUACGGGAGGCAGCAGUGGGGAAUUUUGGACAAUGGGGGCAACCCUGAUCCAGCAAUGCCGCGUGUGUGAAGAAGGCCUUCGGGUUGUAAAGCACUUUUGUCCGGGAAGAAAUCGCACCUGAUAAUACCGGGUGUGGAUGACGGUACCGGAAGAAUAAGGACCGGCUAACUACGUGCCAGCAGCCGCGGUAAUACGUAGGGUCCAAGCGUUAAUCGGAAUUACUGGGCGUAAAGCGUGCGCAGGCGGUUGUGCAAGACCGAUGUGAAAUCCCCGGGCUUAACCUGGGAAUUGCAUUGGUGACUGCACGGCUA
rnacentral:rRNA from 1 species